CUCCCUGAGCUGGUGGUGGCCGCAGAGACCAGCGAGAAGCGACUGUUUACUAAAAACACAGGUCCGUGCGAAGCCGUAAGGCGAUGUAUACGGACUGACGCCUGCCCGGUGCUGGAACGUUAAGGGGACCGGUUAGCUCCAUUUCGGUGGGGCGAAGCUGAGAACUUAAGCGCCAGUAAACGGCGGUGGUAACUAUAACCAUCCUAAGGUAGCGAAAUUCCUUGUCGGGUAAGUUCCGACCUGCACGAAUGGCGUAACGACUUCUCGACUGUCUCAACCAUAGGCCCGGUGAAAUUGCACUACGAGUAAAGAUGCUCGUUUCGCGCAGCAGGACGGAAAGACCCCGGGACCUUUACUAUAGCUUGAUAUUGGUGUUCGGUUCGGCUUGUGUAGGAUAGGUGGGAGACUGUGAAGCGGUGGCGCCAGCCAUUGUGGAGUCGUCGUUGAAAUACCACUCUGGUCGUGCUGGAUGUCUAACCUCGGUCCGUGAUCCGGAUCAGGGACAGUGUCUGGUGGGUAGUUUAACUGGGGCGGUUGCCUCCUAAAGAGUAACGGAGGCGCCCAAAGGUUCCCUCAGCCUGGUUGGCAAUCAGGUGUUGAGUGUAAGUGCACAAGGGAGCUUGACUGUGAGACUGACGGGUCGAGCAGGUACGAAAGUAGGGACUAGUGAUCCGGCGGUGGCUUGUGGAAGCGCCGUCGCUCAACGGAUAAAAGGUACCCCGGGGAUAACAGGCUGAUCUUCCCCAAGAGUCCAUAUCGACGGGAUGGUUUGGCACCUCGAUGUCGGCUCGUCGCAUCCUGGGGCUGGAGUCGGUCCCAAGGGUUGGGCUGUUCGCCCAUUAAAGCGGUACGCGAGCUGGGUUUAGAACGUCGUGAGACAGUUCGGUCCCUAUCCGCUGUGCGCGUAGGAGUCUUGAGAAGGGCUGUCCCUAGUACGAGAGGACCGGGACGGACGAACCUCUGGUGUGCCAGUUGUCCUGCCAAGGGCAUGGCUGGUUGGCUACGUUCGGGAGGGAUAACCGCUGAAAGCAUCUAAGCGGGAAGCCUGCUUCGAGAUGAGGACUCCCACCCCCUUUGAGGGGUUAAGGCUCCCAGUAGACGACUGGGUUGAUAGGCCGGAUGUGGAAGCCCAGUAAUGGGUGGAGCUGACCGGUACUAAUAAGCCGAGGGCUUGUCC
rnacentral:rRNA from 2 species